CAUAAAGUUCAUACUUUGAAGGUGAAAAAAAUAGGUAAUAAAUAAUAAAAAUGAAAUUUUCAUUAGAAUGAUAUAAUUAUGUCAAAGCAGCUAUGACAUUGACAUACCUGUUCAUGACGAGGUAUACUUGACUUCUUUUAUAAAAAAAAUAACGGUUCCUAUCCCUUUUUUUCUAAAUUGUAUUAACUCUUGUAUAGUCUUAUAGAUGUUUAAGUUAAAUAUUGGAAAGUCACAAAAAUGAUGUUUUUUUUGUAUGUCUGGUUGACUGGGAGUAAGUUUAUUCAGUAUUCUGUCCCAGACUCUCAGUUUUUAGGGGUAUUAUUUAUUUUUCUACCUUAUCAAAAGGGAUUAAGAUCUAUUUCUUUAGCCCUCGUGGUAACAUUACGUACCUAUUUACCGCCUUACUAAUACACUCUUUCACUGACUCAGUCACUUAAGAAUGAUGUUAGGAACGGUUCACGAAUCCACGAAUUCAACACUUUUAGUCUAAUUAUUAGUCUAUUACUACUGUCUACUAUUUUUUUUUUUAUUUAAAAACAAAUAUACAGUUUUACAUCAAUUAUCAAUCUUCUGUAACUAUACAUUAAUAACUCAUGCUGCAAACAUUAAAUCAAUAAUUAUUAUUAAUAACUUUAAAACUAAAGUGUACGACUGGCAACCACGAUCAUCGUCCACCGACCAUUGUUUUUAGAAAAUAGAACACCAACUUACUGUAAAAGUACUAAUUAAAAUUUCAGGUUGUUCUCAGUUACACGAAAUGAGUGACUGUAAAAGUCAUGCUAUAAUACUGCAACUUAUAGUACUUAAAAAAUUAAGCAAAGAACACUCCCCGAGUCUUGGAGAUUGUGUGCAAAAUUUGAUAUUAAUUAUUCAUUGUCUCCAAAUCUAUAAAUCUCAUACAAACGUAUUGCUCAUGGCCUGCAGAAGCCGAGUUUAAGAAAUUACAUCAACAUCAUCAAUACGCAUUCAACAGUAAACAACCACUACAACCAAACCAAAAGUUUCUGUGUAAAAUAUAAUCAAAUGUCACACGAUAAUAUAUAUGUCGGCCCUCAAGUUUUUUAAACAAACACUCGUCAGUCGUCAGCUCAACAAUCGUACGCUGGUUUAGUUUUAAAUUCAAUUUAGACGAAACGUAUAUGGUUUAGAGCUAAGUGAUUUUAAGAUUUAACAUAAUAAAAACUUGGCCAACGAGUUCCGCCAAGGUUCUCACGUCUUAUUCGAGUACCUCUAUACCUAACGCAAUUAUUCCCCAUAACGAGAAUGACAUUUUAUUUUUGCCAUCAUUAUGAUCAUAUACUAUAUUAUAUACUAUAUUUUACUCGAUUGUAAUUAUGACAUUCUGCAGCAUUCAAUUGUUUUCCGAAAUUUUAAUAAUUAUUAAAUUAUGCAUACGUACGGGAAUACCCAUUCCGCCCGCGCAGUUUAAAUACUUUGUAUAUAAAUGUUAUCCAUUACGAGUGUAACUAAAUUAUCAAAAUCUGCAAACAUUAAUUAUUAUUCACUAUAGAAUUUCGCGUUUUUAAUGUAAUAUCAAACGCAAAAAUCAUUGUAACCCCGACUACGGCACUAACUCUACACAAGUUGCCUAAUGUGAUUCUAGCAUUUUCUAAAAAUAUAAUAUUUAAAAUACCUAAUAAAUGGUUUUGAUUAUCAUCGUGGGAUUAUAUAACAUUAUAAUACGCAUUUACUAGUUUACUAUUGAACCUACCCUAACCUAACAUAGGUGCUCAAAAUACGUCUAAUUUGUUAUAAUUAUUGGCAAUUUAAUUAUAUAUUUCGUAUGUACUUAUAUAGUUUAAACAUAUACCUGUAUCUAUAAUAAUAUAUUAAUAUGUACGUAUA